rnacentral:rRNA from 1 species
AUUGAACGCUGGCGGCAGGCCUAACACAUGCAAGUCGAGCGGUAACAGGAAGAAGCUUGCUUCUUUGCUGACGAGUGGCGGACGGGUGAGUAAUGUCUGGGAAACUGCCUGAUGGAGGGGGAUAACUACUGGAAACGGUAGCUAAUACCGCAUAACGUCGCAAGACCAAAAAGGGGGACCUUCGGGCCUCUUGCCAUCGGAUGUGCCCAGAUGGGAUUAGCUAGUAGGUGGGGUAACGGCUCACCUAGGCGACGAUCCCUAGCUGGUCUGAGAGGAUGACCAGCCACACGGGAACUGAGACACGGUCCAGACGCCUACGGGAGGCAGCAGUGGGAAUAUUGCACAAUGGGCGCAAGCCUGAUGCAGCCAUGCCGCGUGUAUGAAGAAGGCCUUCGGGUUGUAAAGUACUUUCAGCGGGGAGGAAGGGAGUAAAGUUAAUACCUUUGCUCAUUGACGUUACCCGCAGAAGAAGCACCGGCUAACUCCGUG